rnacentral:lncRNA from 1 species
UUUAAGGAAAGAAGGAACGGUGCCCUGUCCCUGAGAGAAUCAAAACAGCUUGUUCAAGCGUCAAGCAUGUCGAUAAACAAUCAGCGGCACCAAUAGGAAAGAGAGGCUGGAGCUUUUAACGCGGACUAUCCUCACAGGCUAACUAUCCUUAUAGGCUGUGCUGGACAGCUAACAUACACUGAGUUACACCGCCAUCACGACAUUGCGCCAGGUUGCCGCUGACCAACCUGGCGGUUGCAAGGGUGACUAUCGCCCCCUUUGCAUUCUCAAUGUAACGACGGCAGGCCUCGGGAUGAACUCCAUCUGAGCUGAGGUCGACGACCGAAGGGGGAUGUUCAGCACUAACUCUUGCCAGGCGCCGGCAGGACACCGAAGCAGCGACACGGCUCUGUAUAUCUAUACGCCGUAAAAUAUCUUGAAGAAGGGAGUCAUGAAGGCAAAGUAAUGCACUGCUUUCAGGCUCGGAGUUGACUGAGCCGAGCAGCACCACGCCGGGAGACACCGCUACAACACCGGCUGCCAUACUAAAGUUGUGUUGUGGUCCACGCUCCUAAAAGUAUGCCAAAAGGGGCCCUUUGCACGCGAUGUCUUCCGAAGUUCCCGACACCGUCGAAUGUCUUGGUAUCUUCCACCAGCUAUGCAAAGUAAGGUAUAAUAGGUGUGGUGACUUGGCUGAACUUGUCUGGCUUGACGUAAUAGCCUCGUAGGCCUCUGUCCGGAAAUCGGUGUGAGUCACGAACGGACGGCAACGGGUGUCUGACCUUUUAGCGAUGAGUCGCGACAUUCCUCUUUUUUUCCAACUUUACCGGUCUUUCUACUAUCAAUAUAAUGCGUACCAUUUGUUUAAUAAUGUGGCGGUAUACGGUGACAUGGAUGAUAGGUCUGUAACUAUGCGGUUGUGGUAAGUGGACCCAAGGCAUGACAAGAUGUCUUUUUUAUGUCAGAUAAAUGUAGGGCAGAUGCAUGCAUAAUUUGGAAAAGCUCAAACCGGCCAUGGCCACGGAUUUAUCGUAAAGCAACAUCGCACGUAUAGCACGUGCGACGGGAAGGAGGGCAUGUGUGUAGAGUAACAAUCAAUUAAUGCGAUGCCAAUAUGUGUUCCCUCCAGGUCGUCCUGUCAUGAUGACGACACACUUUUGUGUAUGUCCGGAUGGCGGCUUCAAAUGAUAGGGUGGUAUCGAGUACCUAACGAGUACCUACUUAACUGAAUUGCUGCGUAAUGAGGCAGUACAUUACAUGGCAUCACUAGCUCCACCGUUACGUGGGGCCCCAUCAGGAGGGAAUACCGUUUUUCCACGUACCAUUCCGGAAUAAACCACAAGAUGCUGUGCUCGCAGCCUGUAGUUGGAAAUCACGCCGAGCAAUGGCAACCCAACGCACGAGCCCUGACACCGGGUUGGAGCAGUAUAACCUGCUCUCCAUGUUCGAAUCUGACAAACCCACUCCAGAACACACAUGUCUAAGGCUGCCCACCAUAUUCAGCUGCGCUGCAGCAACUUUUAGAUUAAUGAACCUCGACUCGACGUGACCAUCCAUGGCAACGCAAAUUCAUGACUCUAUGGCUCUCGCUUUAACGUCAUCCCGACAAAUCCCAAUCAUCCCUAAAGCCUGCCUCCAGCUGCGUGAGUGCCCUUAGAUUCAACUGAGAGUCCUUGUUACAAUCGAGCCUAUUUAAGAAACAUUCCACUUGUGUGGUGGGACCGAAAGACCCCGAGUGAUGGGUGGUGAGCCGUCUUAUCGACCGGCCACCGGCGGAAGUACGGCAAAGCGAACCAGAUUAGAUGAAGGCCCUAUGGCGAAGGCCAAAUUACACCGACGAACGAUAACGAAUAGGUGAAUGAGAGUAGUGUAACAGCUCAUGCUCGUUACAUACUUCCCCCCCUAAUUGGCUGGUCGUCCCAACAGCCGACUUAUCCAUGCCGCCAUGCUUGCGCAUGGAAAAGCUGAGUCGCAGGCACCCCACUGGCAGUAGACAUAGUCCGAAGAAAUGCGGAGAAACGAGAAGGCUUACGAACACCUCUCCCAGAUCUGGUUUUACGAACGUCCGAGACGGAGGACGGCGAGACAACAGGCGUGAUUCCUGGUUUAGGUUGGGACGCGAGGGUAGCAGCUGUUGUACGAGUCUGCCAAUACGAACGCAGCAAAUCUGCACAGUUAGUCAGGUUCGACUCUGGUUCCCACGAGUCGUACUCUGGACCUUGAUUCUUCCAACGCAUUAGAAAGAACCGAGUACGACGAUGCUUUUGUGUCACGUCACGAUGAUCAAGGACUGCCUCGACUUCGAAUUCCAAUUCACCAUCCACAAUCUCCGGUUGCGGAGGUUUCGGAGCACGAUCGCUCUCAUAGUAAGGCCGUAACAGAGACACAUGGAAUACGUCAUGAAUACGCGUUCCAUUAGGCAAGUCCAAACGAUAAGCGACGUCGUUAAUCUUAGCCUUAAUAACGUACGGUCCGAUAAAACGAGGAAGCAACUUGCGUGGACCUUCAAGACGCAUGUGCUGAGUGCUCAGCAACACGACGUCUCCAAGCUUGAACUGACGUUCCGAACGCUUGAGAUCAGCAAAACGCUUCAUACGAUCACGUUGUGCAGCCAAACAACGCUUAGCACGCUCAAGCGCACCUUGCAUGUCAGAUGCAAAACGUACGGAAACGGCGUUGCGAAGAGCACGCGCCUUCUCCCCCCCCACUUGACGAGCCAAGAGAGAACUAGGAGUCAGAGGUUCAAAACCGUACAUCAGACGAAACGGAGAAGUACCGGUAGAGGAAUGCACCCAGUUAUUCAUGGCGAACUCAGCCAUGGAAAGGAAACGAGACCAGGAUCAAUAAUCACCGGCAACAUAAUGGCGCAAAAUAUCCUCGAGGGUACGAUUCACACGUUCAGUUUGACCAUCAGUUUGCGGAUGAUAAACCGAACUGAAACGGAGGUCGAUAGACAUAUCCUCACACAGAUGCGUGAAGAAAGCGGAACGGAAACGCGGAUCCCGAUCACAAACAAGGAUCACGGGGGAACCAUACCCGACACAAGCUCAACUGUCUCGACUUCUCGAUCCUAGCCUACUUCGCUUCCACCGUCGUAUCCCAUGUCUGCUGCUGAUCCUGAUCCUCCUAUCGCGGCCGUUGCCGACCGCGACAAUACUGUCAUAGAAGUCACUAAUCGCGCUUCUUCUUUGUCGAUUAUGGAGAAGGCGCCCACGUACCCACGCUUCGACAAGUUGCUGGAGAUGUCUCCAGAUUCCCUUGAAAAGCAGCAACUGACCCUGGCGCAGGGUUGGAUGUUGCAGAAAAUCGCUAUUCAGAACGAACUGCAACGCUGCGGUCUACCAAUUCAAUCGAAGGAUGUCGCGGUCGCCUUCAUCGCGGCGCUGGAACCUUUUCGUCUUCGUUUGGCCUUGCAUUCGGCUGUUGCAAUGCAGGGUGGCUUCAUUCCAAGUCUGGAGUGGUUGGAGGACUGGUUUCUUAAGAACUGCGGCGAAAAUCCUACGCUGCCGUUGUUGAUUGGCCUACAGAAAAUCCGGAGUACAAAGCCCGGCGACUUCCCUACGGCUGACCUUCUCAUCCAGCAUGUGGAGGACAUCCGUACUUUGAUGCCGGAGCUUCCCGAGUGCGUUCUUGUUUACUACACCCUCGAGUUGAGUCCGGAGUCUUUGUACUCUUCCCUCCGCUGGCAACAGGACACUGGAGCUUUGAAGCAGCUCCUGCUUAAACAGCUCCCAGGAGCCCAGCGCUUCAAAGCUCCAGUGUCCUAUCNNNNNNNNNNNNNNNNNNNNNNNNNNNNNNNNNNNNNNNNNNNNNNNNNNNNNNNNNNNNNNNNNNNNNNNNNNNNNNNNNNNNNNNNNNNNNNNNNAGGGAAGAGUCCAAAGACUCCGGACUCAACUCGAGGGUGUAGUAAACAAGAACGCACUCGGGAAGCUCCGGCAUCAAAGUACGGAUGUCCUCCACAUGCUGGAUGAGAAGGUCAGCCGUAGGGAAGUCGCCGGGCUUUGUACUCCGGAUUUUCUGUAGGCCAAUCAACAACGGCAGCGUAGGAUUUUCGCCGCAGUUCUUAAGAAACCAGUCCUCCAACCACUCCAGACUUGGAAUGAAGCCACCCUGCAUUGCAACAGCCGAAUGCAAGGCCAAACGAAGACGAAAAGGUUCCAGCGCCGCGAUGAAGGCGACCGCGACAUCCUUCGAUUGAAUUGGUAGACCGCAGCGUUGCAGUUCGUUCUGAAUAGCGAUUUUCUGCAACGUCCAACCCUGCGCCAGGGUCAGUUGCUGCUUUUCAAGGGAAUCUGGAGACAUCUCCAGCAACUUGUCGAAGCGUGGGUACGUGGGCGCCUUCUCCAUAAUCGACAAAGAAGAAGCGCGAUUAGUGACUUCUAUGACAGUAUUGUCGCGGUCGGCAACGACCACGAUAGGAGGAUCAGGAUCAGCAGCAGACAUGGGAUACGACGGCGGAAGCGAAGUAGGCUAGGAUCGAGAAGUCUCGAUACCAAUGUCACAAUCGAGCCUAUUUAAGAAACAUUCCACUUGUGUGGUGGGACCGAAAGACCCCGAGUGAUGGGUGGUGAGCCGUCUUAUCGACCGGCCACCGGCGGAAGUACGGCAAAGCGAACCAGAUUAGAUGAAGGCCCUAUGGCGAAGGCCAAAUUACACCGACGAACGAUAACGAAUAGGCGAAUGAGAGUAAUGUAACAGCUCAUGCUCGUUACAGUCCUUGGACCAAAAGCUGAGCUGACCAACCGCAACGUGGAACCCUUACACACUUGUUGAUGUCCGAUCCUGAACCCGAAAAACGUUUAACCUUGAUCCCCGCGAAUACUUACUACAGCUCGAAACAGGCGUCAAGAAACCUGGACCUGAUCCUUAACUCAGCUCUGAUCAUGUAACCCUGAAAAUCCUACCCAUUAG